rnacentral:rRNA from 1 species
UGCAAGUCGAGCGUGAAAGCCCGCAAGGGUGAGUAAAGCGGCGAACGGGUGAGUAAUACUUGGGUAACAUUCCUUCAAGAUUGGGAUAACGCGCCGAAAGGCGUGCUAAUACCGGAUAAGACCACGACCCCUCCGGGGGUUGGGGUCAAAGAUGGCCUCUAUUUAUAAGCUAUCACUUGAAGAUUGGCUCAAGCACCAUUAGCUAGUUGGCGGGGUAAUGGCCCACCAAGGCUACGAUGGUUAGCCGGCCUGAGAGGGUGAUCGGCCACACUGGGACUGAGAUACGGCCCAGACUCCUACGGGAGGCAGCAGUUUGGAAUAUUCCACAAUGGGCGAAAGCCUGAUGGAGCGACACCGCGUGUAGGACGAAGGUCUUCGGAUUGUAAACUUCUUUAGACCUAGAUGAAGGCUUCAAGGUGAAUAAUCUUGAAGUUUGACAGUAUAGGUAAAAUAAGCCACGGCUAACUCUGUGCCAGCAGCCGCGGUAAUACAGAGGUGGCAAACGUUGUCCGGAUUUAUUGGGUGUAAAGGGCAUGUAGGUGGUUUUGUAAGUCAAAGGUGAAAUGGCCCGGCUUAACCAGGUCAUUGCCUUUGAAACUGCAGAGCUUGAGUACGGAAGAGGAGAGUGGAAUUCCCAGUGUAGCGGUGAAAUGCGUAGAUAUUGGGAGGAACACCGGUGGCGAAGGCGGCUCUCUGGUCCGAUACUGACACUGAGAUGCGAAAGCCAGGGGAGCA